rnacentral:rRNA from 1 species
AGCGAACGCUGGCGGCGUGCCUAACACAUGCAAGUCGAACGUGAAAGGGAGCACUCCCACGUAAAGUGGCGUACGGGUGAGUAACACGUAGGUAAUCUACCCCAGAAUCUGGAAUAACUGGCCGAAAGGCUGGCUAAUACUGGAUAGAGCGACGGAAUCCGUAAUUGGGUUUUUCGGGAAAGGGAGCCUGUAAAAAGGCCUUCGUUCUGGGAUGAGCCUGCGUCCCAUCAGCUAGUUGGUGAGGUAAAAGCUUACCAAGGCAAUGACGGGUAGCUGGUCUGAGAGGACGAUCAGCCACACUGGAACUGAAACACGGUCCAGACUCCUACGGGAGGCAGCAGUGGGGAAUCUUGCGCAAUGGACGAAAGUCUGACGCAGCAACGCCGCGUGAGGGAAGAAGGCCUUCGGGUUGUAAAGCUCUGUCGAGUGGGACGAAAAUGCUUGGAGUUCACAGCUCCAGGAACUGACGGUACCACUAAAGGAAGCACCGGCUAACUCCGUG